rnacentral:tRNA from 1 species
GACUACCAUGAUCAGUCAGAAUCUCUGGUCUGCGAAACCAGAGAUUCUGGGUUCGAUCCCCAGUGGAGUCG